rnacentral:lncRNA from 1 species
CAUUCAUUUUAAAGACAUUUAGAAGCAGCCAAGGAGUGGCCCUCCACAUCAGAUGGGUCCAUUCAAAGUAUGUGUUUUCUAGUUUCCUCAAUUCGAUCAUGGGUUUGAAUGUAGUUUCAUCAGGAGCGUAUAUAUAUAGGAAGCGUGAGGGAGACCAAUCCCCUACUCAAUGUCAAUCGGGAAAGGCGAAAUAUGUUUCGCUCUUCAAAAAAGAUCUGUUUCUGCUAAGCUUAUGAAUAUUAUGAUUUAUAUAAACCUGUCUCCGUGCUAUUGUACUAUAACGGCAUAUAUCAUCAUCUAUAGUCGGUAUAUAGGUGCUAUAGAAGCUUGUAUUUACACUACAUUGAUGUGUUCUAUACAUAUUGCAAUACUUUUAACAUUUUUUCAUUCAUUUUAAAGACGUUUACGACAAAAAGAGGAGUAGGACAGCACGUCAGAAGAACACAUGAGGCAAAGUAUGUGUUUUCUAGUUUCCUCAAUUCGAUUACGGGUUUGAAUGUAGUUUCAUGAACAUCCUGAUUUAUAUAAACCUGUCUCCGUGCUAUUGUACUAUAACGGCAUACUCGACGGCAUAUAUCAUCUAUAGUCGGUAUAUAGGUGCUAUAGAAGCGUGUAUUUACACUACAUCGAUGUGUUCUAUAUAGGAUAUUGCAAUACUUUUAACAUUUUUUCAUUCAUUUUAAAGACGUUUACAACAAAUAGAGGUGCAGUGAUGCAUGCCACAAAAACUCAGAAAGGAAAUGUGUUUUCUAGUUUACUUAAUUCGAUCAUGGGUUUGAAUGUAGUUUCAUCAGAAGCGUAUAGGAAGCUUGGGGAGACAAAAGGACUAAUCCCUCUCCAAUGUCAAUCGGAAAAAGCCAGACUCUUCAAAAAAGAUUUGUUCCACCUCAGAAACAUUUUCUGCUAAGCUUAUGAACAUCAUUAUUUACGACAAAAAGAGGAGUAUAACAGCACGUUUACGGCCAAACGAGGAGUGGACCUCCACGUGAGAAGAACACAUGAGGCAAAGUAUGUGUUUUCUAGUUUCCUCAAUUCGAUCAUGGGUUUGAAUGUAGUUUCAUCAGGAGCGUAUAUAUAGGAAGCGUGAGGGAGACCAAUCCCCUAGUCAAUGUCAAUCGGGAAAUUGGACGAGACGAGUGAAAUGGACUUAACAGCCACCGUUGGUAGUGGCAUCCUGUCACUGGGCGGUCAAGAAGAAGCGAGCGACUGCAACAACAACAACAACAACAACAACAACAACAACAACAACAACAGCAACAGCAACAACAACAACAACAACAGCAGCAAUAACAACAGCAGCGAGGAGGAGUGGAGCCAGCUCAGAAAACCCUCGUUUAUCUGUGUCUGUGACUACUGAUACUGAUGAACUUGAAACAUAUGAAGUAAUGCCACUCCAAUCAACACCUGCCUACAGGGAUACAUCUACCCUAGCAACUCUGGCGGUGAGCCCAAUUGCGGGGCCACCGUCAGAAAAAAAAAGAAAAGAAAGGCGAAUGGUAGAAAGGUCUAGAAUCUAUGAACUAUCUCGUCAUCUUUAACACAGAAGCAACUAGAAAUUCGUUUGAUGCUCUGUUCACCAGUCCAUAGGAAAACAUUUCCUUGACCUUGUUUUUAUCCGUUUUUGUGUGAAAGCAUGAAUGAAAACGCAGGGCCGUAGCAACGGG